CCCACUUCAUGAAAUUUUAAAUGAACAAUAUUAUAGCAAAAACAAAGAAAUUAACUUUCAUAGGCUUAUAAUUAAUAUUCAAACAAAAUUUUCAUCCAACAUAUGAAAGAAAUUAAAUUUCAUCAACCCAAAUACGAUCGCUCAUACACACAUACACAUAUAUAUGUGUGUGUGGAUUGAUUCAUAACAAAUAUUUAUUAGUCUUGCCAGCAGAGCAAGAUGGUGAUGCAUCGCCGGAGAAUGUAGAACUUUGCUCUUUGUUCCUUCAGUAGCAAACUGCAUCUCCGGCCAAACGAUCUGCACGGGCUUCUCACGUGCCUCUCGCAAAAGCUUCUCUUAUCUUUCUUCAUUUGCCCACAGCUAGCUCGCUCGCUCUACCCUCUGUGUGUAUGAUUGAGAGACUUUAUUUUAAUGUGGUCGAGAAAUAAAAAACGGGGAAAUGUACAAUUCUUUGUAUAGUAGAACUUUGAGUAAGGUUUUCCUGGGAUAUUAAUGUCUAUAUAUAUAUAAUGGUUUUAAUUUGUAUGAAAAGACAUAUUUACCCCUUUAUAAUUGAAGCCUCUAAUGUGGAAAGGGCUGAUAAAAAGUUAUAAUUAAUUUAAAUAUUUAAAUGGUUCUUAAAACUUAAAAUGAAAGUAUAAUUUCCCUUUUUGUAACUUAUUAAAAAUUAUCAUGGUUGUUUCAUAAAAGGAAUUUUAUUUAUAAAAAUUUAUGUAUAUUUAUAUUUUUGCAUGAUCUUUUUGUAAAGUUAAAUUUUAUUAAAAAAAAACUUGAAAUAAAAUUAUUUUACUAAACUAAAGUAUAUAAUUUAUAUACUCUAGAAGUAUUUCCAAUAAGUCCAACAGGAAAAAUGCCUAAAUAUUAUAGAAUGUUUCAGAAAAUUAAUAACUUAAUUUCAGAACCUGAUUACCAUAAUUUAUAAACCACCAAAAUAAAUUCAUAACAAACUGCAUCUCCGGCCAAACGAUCUGCACGGCCUUCUCCUUCACUAGCAAACUGCAUCUCCGGCCAAACGAUCUGCACGGCCUUCUCACGUGCCUCUCGCAAAAGCUUCUCUUAUCUUUCUUCAUUUGCCCGCUGCUAGCUAGCUCGCUCGCUCUACCCUCCUGUGUGUAUAAUUGAGAGGCUUUAUUUUAAUGUGGUCGAGAAAUAAAAUAAAGAGCAAUGUCCAAUUCUUUAUAGAAAAUUGUUAAAUUCACAAUAUUUUCUAUUGUGGAUUUAACAAUUUCCUUCUUUA
rnacentral:lncRNA from 1 species